rnacentral:rRNA from 1 species
UACGAAGGGGGCUAGCGUUGCUCGGAAUCACUGGGCGUAAAGGGUGCGUAGGCGGGUCUUUUAAGUCAGGGGUGAAAUCCUGGAGCUCAACUCCAGAACUGCCUUUGAUACUGAGGAUCUUGAGUUCGGGAGAGGUGAGUGGAACUGCGAGUGUAGAGGUGAAAUUCGUGAGAUAUUCGCGAAGAACACCAGUGGCGAAGG